rnacentral:lncRNA from 1 species
UGUAACGGCCCGCGGAAUCUUGAGUGUGGAAAUAUAUUUAUCGAAGCAACGGGAUUCAGGUUGUAAAUUUCAAAUAUGGUCACGAAGCAGUCAAUGGGACAACCAUCCGAGAAUCUAUUCGGUAACCUGAAAAGAUCUAACGAUGAAUUCUGUACACGUUUCGCGGUGUUUCUCCCAGAGGAAGGAAUUCAAGGUUUCCGUGGGUCAGAUGUUAUUCUGCAUCGGAUACUGCAAUAGUCGCAAACUGCUCCGAUAACACAGGCACCGGCUGGUAAUAUCCUGGAGUUCACCUAUGGCCUGUACUCGUCCACGCCAGCCUCGGAACCCUUUUACUGAAAGCGGUAAAAGUGACGGCGUCCUUGGAUCCCGAUACGCUCGUUGCAGAGAGCCUCGAAAAGAAGACACGGAGGAUUCGUGGAACGUCGCUGGAACACGGCCUCUCUUGUGUACAUUGAACAAUGGUCACGAAGCUGAAAACCGUGGAGACCUACACUUUGACAAGACAUGUUUACUCCAUGAAUGAAUAGUGUGACAGACCGGGUUGUUAGAAAUAUUUUGAAUAACAGGAUGAUUCCGAAUGACAUGUAUCGUAUGAUACAUGUUAUAGGUCACAGCCGUAUACAUUAUAGGACAUAGAACACAUAUAUUCAUAGUGAUUAGAAAAUGUUCGAGAACUUUGAAGCGUGGAAAUCAUAUGUCACGAACCAUUUCAUACACCAUGUACCGAUGUACGACCAGGAAGAGACAUGAGCUCGAUGCUAUGACGGAUUUAGUGACCAUGGUUUCAGCCAAGUAUCCUCUACUCUACUUGGAUCAAGUCAUUAAACUCUGCAACCUUUCAACUCCUUUUUCCAGCUGAUAUAAACCGCGGUGAGUACAACGUGGCUUACCGUUAUGUUUUUCAUCCUCCUGAAAACAAUUCUGGGAAAAUUUGCCGAUGUUGCUGCCAGAACUUCAAAACUUUCUGUACCAGUGGUGCAUCGUGAAGAAUCGGGGGUGCGCAAGCAGGAAAGGAAGUCAUUGUCGGAGAGCCAGUAAGAGAAAGAAAGACAGAGAGAAAGGGGUGAAAGAGGGAAAAGGUAGGAAGCAGAACACCCAUAGGACAGCUGAGAGCCUGGGACGAAGGUUGGAGAGGGUGGAAUGAUAGGGUGGAGUGGGGUGAGUACACUCGGAUGCAACGUUCAUUUCCUUCGGACAG